CAAACCAAAGCUGGCGACCGGCGCACGGGUGAGUAACACGUAUCCAACCUGCCUCAUACUCGGGGAUAGCCUUUCGAAAGAAAGAUUAAUAUCCGAUAGCAUAUAUUUCCCGCAUGGGUUUUAUAUUAAAGAAAUUCGGUAUGAGAUGGGGAUGCGUUCCAUUAGUUUGUUGGGGGGUAACGGCCCACCAAGACUACGAUGGAUAGGGGUUCUGAGAGGAAGGUCCCCCACAUUGGAACUGAGACACGGACCAA
rnacentral:rRNA from 1 species